GACGAACGCUGGCGGCGUGCUUUAGGCAUGCAAGUCGAACGCGAAAGCCCCUUCGGGGGUGAGUAGAGUGGCGAACGGGUGAGUAACACGUGGGUAACCUGCCCCUCGCAGGGGGAUAACCGGGGGAAACCCCGGCUAAUACCCCGUACGCUUGCUGGGGCGCAUGCUCCGGCAAGGAAAGGUAGCUUCGGCCAUCCGGCGAGGGAGGGGCCCGCGGCCCAUUAGCUAGUUGGUGGGGUAACGGCCCACCAAGGCGACGAUGGGUAGCUGGCCUGAGAGGGUGGUCAGCCACACUGGGACUGAGACACGGCCCAGACUCCUACGGGAGGCAGCAGCCAGGAAUCUUGCGCAGUGGGCGAAAGCCUGACGCAGCAACGCCGCGUGGGCGAUGAAGGCCUUCGGGUCGUAAAGCCCUGUUGUCGGGGACGAAGGGCGAAGGGUUAAUAGCCCCUAGCCUGACGGUACCCGACGAGGAAGCCCCGGCUAACUACGUG
rnacentral:rRNA from 1 species